AUUGAACGCUGGCGGCAGGCCUAACACAUGCAAGUCGAACGAGUGGCGGACGGGUGAGUAAUGUCUGGGAAACUGCCCGAUGGAGGGGGAUAACUACUGGAAACGGUAGCUAAUACCGCAUACCAUCGGAUGUGCCCAGAUGGGAUUAGCUUGUAGGUGGGGUAACGGCUCACCUAGGCGACGAUCCCUAGCGGGUCUGAGAGGAUGACCAGCCACAUGGGAACGGGGACACGGUCCAGACCCCUACGGGAGGCAGCAGUGGGGAAUAUUGCACAAUGGGCGCAAGCCUGAUGCAGCCAUGCCGCGUGUAUGAAGAGGGCCUUCGGGUUGUAAAGUACUUUCAGCGGGGAGGCGUUACCCGCAGAAGAAGCACCGGCUAACUCCGUGCCAGCGGCCGCGGUAAUU
rnacentral:rRNA from 1 species